rnacentral:lncRNA from 1 species
GGUUACUGCUAUAUUAAUAAUUGUAGUUGUUUUCUUUUUUGCUUUAAACUUUUUCGUUGUUGUUUAAAUAUGAACAUUUUCUGUUGGUAUUGUUGAUUAAUUUGACAUUCAACUGAUGUAGCAAUUUAUGUGGAUGUGACUAUUUUUUUAAAGUGUAAAAGUAUUGCUUUAUGGAAGUUAUAGAAACUUUUCAUGUUAGACAGAAACUUAUAGUUCAUUUUUAGUGUUUAAUAAUGUAGUGCUAAUGUCAAUACUACUAAACUAUUUGUUUGAGAAAAUGGACAAAUAAAAAUACAGCAAAACUCUAUUAAUAAUGUUGGCAUUAUAUAAAUUAAUUAAUUUACAGAAUUAUUAAUUUUUAAAAAAUAAUUUUUAAAUAUAUA